rnacentral:lncRNA from 1 species
AUAGCAAUUAUAAAAGACAUAUCAAUUUGCUCAUUUAGAAGAUAUUACUAUUCAUAAUAUUUCAUCACACAUAUAUGAGUCAUUUUUCAUAUCUUAUAAUUAAAAUAUUUUAAUUGAUCCCAUUCAUAAACAUUAAUCCAAAGACAUUCAUUGAAAUUCAAAGCAUAAAAAAUGUAUAUAUCAAAAUGUGACUGAAUACAUUAAGUCAAAAUACAUAGAUCAUACAAAAGUCAUGGAUAACAACUAUCCAAGAGUCAAUCAGCCAACAAAAUACAAAGGCCAUAAGAUAGAUCCUAGACAAAAAUAAAAAAAGAUUAACUAUUCUAGAUCUAAUAGAUAUCAUGGCU